rnacentral:rRNA from 1 species
ACGUAGGGUGCAAGCGUUAAUCGGAAUUACUGGGCGUAAAGCGUGCGCAGGCGGUUAUAUAAGUCAGAUGUGAAAUCCCUGGGCUCAACCUAGGAACUGCAUUUGAGACUGUAUAGCUAGAGUGUGUCAGAGGGGGGUAGAAUUCCACGUGUAGCAGUGAAAUGCGUAGAGAUGUGGAGGAAUAUCAAUGGCGAAGGCAACCCCCUGGGAUAACACUGACGCUCAUGUACGAAAGCGUGGGGAGCAAACAGGAUUAGAUACCCUGGUAGUCCACGCCCUAAACGAUGUCUACUAGUUGUUGGGGCUUUCGAGCCUUAGUAACGCAGCUAACGCGUGAAGUAGACCGCCUGGGGAGUACGGUCGCAAGAUUA